rnacentral:rRNA from 1 species
GACGAACGCUGGCGGCGUGCCUAACACAUGCAAGUCGAGCGACGAACCGGGGCUUGCCCCGGGGCAGAGCCGCGAACGGGUGAGUAACUCGUGGGUGACCUGCCUCGAUGACUGGGACAAACCGUCGCAAGAAGGGCUAAUUCCGGACGUGCCCCUUGGGGGAAAGGAAGCUUCGGACUUCGCAUCGGGUUGGGCCCGCGGCGCAUUAGCUUGUUGGUGGGGUAAUGGCUUACCAAGGCGACGAUGCGUAGCUGGUCUGAGAGGACGAUCAGCCACACUGGGACUGAGACACGGCCCAGACUCCUACGGGAGGCAGCAGUGGGGAAUCUUGCACAAUGGGCGAAAGCGUGAUGCAGCAACGCCGCGUGCGUGAAGAAGGCCUUAGGAUUGUAAACCGCUUUCAGUUGGGACGAGGCUUCGUUCAAGAAUAGCGGUUUAGAGUGACGGUACCUUCAGAGAAAGCGCCGGCUAACUACGUG